GUGGUGUCUGUCUGUAUAAAGGGAAGCCGUUUUUUUUGUUGGUUCAUUCCUCCUGAGCUUCUGGCGCAACACAGCAGUAAAUGCUGGCCUAUUGUUUAAUUUACCGAGACGAUCGGAUCGUGUGACUGCUACAGGUAGGCUUCCUUUUGACCUCUGAUUUCUCUCAGAAGUAGGUAGGUAACUAGUAGUCAUAUUUCUGCGGCCCGCUACAGCACGGCUGUUUCUCUUUUCUUUACUCCAGCCAUGGUGGAGAGACUUAUUUGAGUUGCGUCCACCGUGCAGUAUAGCGCCUCCAGUCUUGGGGGUUUGAUUGGUGCCGCACCCUCUCAGGGACCAACCGCCUGAUUUUAAGCGAAGAGUCGAGACGCCUGCCUAGCUGCUGUCUUGUCUUGUCUUGUUUUGCCUUGUGUUCCGUUCUGCUGGCUGUCCAGUUUUGUUCCUGCUGCUUUGGGUCUCACUCUAAGCCCCUUUUGGAUUAUUGUUUCACUCCAGCUUUCACGGCUGGCUAGGGCGAUCCUCAGCUCCAUAUCGGCCUGGUGUUACAAAACUGGUACUGCCUCCCCAUUUUCUCCCAGUUUGUGGAGAGGUGCACGAGACUGAGUGGGGCUACGGACAAUCGGAACCAGCACCAGCUGAGGGCUGGCUCGCAGAGUGCAAGUAUUUCCAAUCUGUGCUCUGUGGUGUGUAUGUGGGUGUGUUUUAUUAAAGAUUUCAGUUUUUCUUUUAAUUCUCUUUUUUUUUUAAGUAUAUAGAGAGCCCGUUAUUUGAUGUCCCAUGUUUUUAUCCCUUUAAUGUGUAUGUCUUGUGCUUUUAUUUCAGCGAACUGAGGAUCUACCAGCGGCCGUGGGAGCUCAGGUGGCGGGUCGUUUUCCACACUUCCUUUGUUGUACAGCACCGGGUGAAUAGACUAUAGUAGGGUUUUUUUUUUUUUGUGUGUGUGUGGUUUUCUUUUGGUCCACCGCUGCUGGUAAGUCCCAGUUGUAUGUUUAUUUUUUUAUUGUAAUUUGGGACACAGUUUUAGAUGACACUGCAUUCAGUGCGCUGUCAUUGUUGUUUUAUUUUUUACUAAUAAAUAAAAUUGUGUUAAUAUUUGA